CAUCUUAUCAAGAAUUCAAGUCUUGCUAUCAACAGGGUUGCCACAUACAAUUGUGAAUGGGAAUGGGAAGAAGGCUACGGUUUUGCCCUGAGUGAGAGCCUUGGCUUUUCCUUCCACGGAUUUGGCUGCAGAUCCAGAGAGAUGGGAGCAGGAGGCUUCUGAGGAGAGCUGAAGCCACCAACUGUUCUGGAAGCCCUGGUUUUAGGAGUGGUAAACAAAGAGAAAAGGAGAUAGGUUGUCAGCCCAGCUUCAGAAUGAAGAUCUUGGGGAAGGACUCCAAGAGGCUGGACAUGGACAAUGUGCUUUAUCCUCGACCAGCAUCACAGCCAAAGACCAGGAUGAGUCAAGCAGUGCCUCUGAUUAUGAGCGCACCCUCAAGUUCGCCCAA
rnacentral:lncRNA from 1 species